GAUGAACGCUGGCGGCGUGCCUAAUACAUGCCAGUCGAGCGAACGGACGAGAAGCUUGCUUCUCUGAUGUUAGCGGCGGACGGGUGAGUAACACGUGGAUAACCUACUUAUAAGACUGGGAUAACUUCGGGAAACCGGAGCUAAUACCGGAUAAUAUUUUGAACCGCAUGGUUCAAAAGUGAAAGACGGUCUUGCUGUCACUUAUAGAUGGAUCCGCGCUGCAUUAGCUAGUUGGUAAGGUAACGGCUUACCAAGGCAACGAUGCAUAGCCGACCUGAGAGGGUGAUCGGCCACACUGGAACUGAGACACGGUCCAGACUCCUACGGGAGGCAGCAGUAGGGAACCUUCCGCAAUGGGCGAAAGCCUGACGGAGCAACGCCGCGUGAGUGAUGAAGGUCUUCGGAUCGUAAAACUCUGUUAUUAGGGAAGAACAUAUGUGUAAGUAACUGUGCACAUCUUGACGGUACCUAAUCAGAAAGCCACGGCUAACUACGUG
rnacentral:rRNA from 1 species